AUAAAGAGAAUUAUUAGCCGACUUAGUAGAAUAAGUUACUAACUUAUGGAGCAACUAUAGAAGAAUUGGUAGUAGUUGCCAAAUUGUGGACCAAGUUUAGUGCUUUAAUUAGGAAGAUUGUUAGCGAUUCUUAACUUGAAGAGAAAGUUUAGGAAGCUAGUUUGUACUUUCUUCUCUAUUAAUACUCAUGAGAUGUAUGCUCAUUUCACCACAACAAAGAGAAUUAAAGAGCCAAGGGCUUAAAGUUUCUUUGUUCCAAAAGUUCUUCCCCCUCAAGCUUUUCCUUUGCUUCUUUCCCUUGUUUCGAUAUAUUUCGAUCAUGGGUCA